rnacentral:tRNA from 1 species
AAUAAGAUGCCUGAAUUUAAUAAGGACUAUUUUGAUAGAAUAGAAUAUGUAAUAGAAAUUACUCUUAUUA